rnacentral:rRNA from 1 species
AGUCGAGCGGAGUAUUUCCUUCGGGGAAUGCUUAGCGGCGGACGGGUGAGUAACACGUAGGCAACCUGCCCUCAAGACUGGGAUAACUACCGGAAACGGUAGCUAAUACCGGAUAAUUUCUUUCCUCUCCUGAAGAGAGAAUGAAAGGCGGAGCAAUCUGCCGCUUGGGGAUGGGCCUGCGGCGCAUUAGCUAGUUGGUGGGGUAACGGCUCACCAAGGCGACGAUGCGUAGCCGACCUGAGAGGGUGAACGGCCACACUGGGACUGAGACACGGCCCAGACUCCUACGGGAGGCAGCAGU